rnacentral:rRNA from 1 species
CGGAGGUGGCAAGCGCUACUCGGAAUUAUUGGGUGUAAAGGGCAAGUAGGUGGCUUAGUAAGUGAGAGGUGAAAUACUCCGGCUCAAUCGGAGAACUGCCUUUCAUACUGCUUUGCUUGAGGAUGGUAGGGGUAAGGGAAUUCCCGGUGUAAGGGUGAAAUCUGUAGAUAUCGGGAAGAACACCAGCGGCGAAGGCGCUUACCUGGACCAUUCCUGACACUGAAUUGCGAAAGCUAGGGGAGCAAACAGAAUUAGAUACUCUGGUAGUCCUAGCCGUAAACGAUGAGCACUAGGUGUUGGCUCCGUUAGGAGUCAGUGCCGCAGCUAACGCAUUAAGUGCUCCACCUGAGGACUACGGUCGCAAGGCUA